GACAGAGGAUGCAAGCGUUAUCCGGAAUGAUUGGGCGUAAAGCGUCUGUAGGUGGCUUUUAAGUCCGCCGUCAAUCCGAGGCUCAACCCUGGAACUGCAUUCGAUACUGCCUGGCUAGGGUACUGGAGAGGAGACUGGAAUUUACGGUGUAGCAGUGAAAUGCGUAGAUAUCGUAAGGAAGACCAGUGGCGAAGGCGAGUCUCUGGACAGUUACCGGACGCGUGAGGCACGAAGGUCAGGGGAGCAAACGGG
rnacentral:rRNA from 1 species